rnacentral:rRNA from 1 species
GUGGGGAAUCUUAGACAAUGGGCGCAAGCCUGAUCUAGCCAUGCCGCGUGAGCGAUGAAGGCCUUAGGGUUGUAAAGCUCUUUCAGCUGGGAAGAUAAUGACGGUACCAGCAGAAGAAGCCCCGGCUAACUCCGUGCCAGCAGCCGCGGUAAUACGGAGGGGGCUAGCGUUGUUCGGAAUUACUGGGCGUAAAGCGCACGUAGGCGGAUCAGAAAGUCAGAGGUGAAAUCCCAGGGCUCAACCUUGGAACUGCCUUUGAAACUCCUGAUCUUGAGGUCGAGAGAGGUGAGUGGAAUUCCGAGUGUAGAGGUGAAAUUCGUAGAUAUUCGGAGGAACACCAGUGGCGAAGGCGGCUCACUGGCUCGAUACUGACGCUGAGGCGCGAAAGCGUGGGGAGCAAACAGGAUUAGAUACCCCGGUAGUCC